AAAAACGAGACGCAAAUUCGAAAACGAGUAAAAUGCCAAGAACGAAGCAAGGCGUAUAUUUAUAUUGUAUAGAACCCGGAUGUUAGGUGAUCAAGGCUCCUAGUUAAUGAGUGGAGACUUUCGGAGCGUGAAUCACUCGAUGACUGAGGUCAAAGUGAAGUCUGUCAACGCUGCGAACACAAAUAAAGAGGACUGCACACAGUCUGGAGUCUGGAACUUUUUCGGGGAGUCGUGAGAAGUUUGGGUCCAAAAAAGGUUGAAGAAGAAACUGGAUUUGAGGAUUCAAGAUGGACGAUCAACUGGAAGAUGACAGAAACGUGAGGUUCAAAGCAGCGGCGAUGGCAGUACGACACGUUCCCUCGCUGAGCUCUACCUCUGUCAGCUGUCCGGUGUGAUACCUGCUCUGACUCAGACCCAGAGCUGAAGAUGAAAACAGGAAUAACUGGCCCGGACACACAAGCUGCGGCUCAAUCUCUGAUAAGGGACCUGGAGCGAUGGCAGACUCUCGGCUGAACAGAUGAUAUGUCUGCAGUCUGUCCUUUUCCUUUGUCGUGGCAGCAGCAUACCAAAUUGUGAUGGAAGAGGAGUGAUGAGGGAGAUGAUGUUCAGCUUCCACGUGAUGUACUGAGGGAGCCCAGGAAGCGGAAGAACUCCACACUGCACUGCAGCUUUUAUUCAUGUAUUUUAUACCUGUCUCAUAGAAGGUUUUUACUUUCUAUCUUAUUGGCUCUUUAAUGGUUGUUUUUUUAUUGUGUUGGUCCAUAUGUACUGUGUUUCUUCUGUACUUGUCUUGAUACGUUUACUGUUUUAAGUAAAACACUUUGAAUUGUCUUGUUGCUGAAAU